rnacentral:rRNA from 1 species
GACGUAGGGCGCGAGCGUUGUCCGGAUUUAUUGGGCGUAAAGAGCUCGUAGGCGGCUUGUCGCGUCGAAUGUGAAAUCUCAGGGCUCAACUCUGACAUUGCAUUCGAUAACGGGCAGGCUCGAGUUCGGUAGGGGAGACUGGAAUUCCUGGUGUAGCGGUGAAAUGCGCAGAUAAUCAGGAGGAACACCGGUGGCGAAGGCGGGUCUCUGGGCCGAUGACUGACGCUGAGGAGCGAAAGCGUGGGGAGCGAACAGGA